AUAACGAGCGCAACCCUUAUCUUUUGUUGCCAGCAGGUAGAGCUGGGCACUCAAGAGAGACUGCCGUCGACAAGACGGAGGAAGGCGGGGAUGACGUCAAGUCAUCAUGCCCCUUAUGUCCUGGGCUACACACGUACUACAAUGGGUGUAAACAGAGGGCAGCGAAGCCGCGAGGCGGAGCAAAUCCCAUAAAUACACUCUCAGUUCGGAUCGGAGGCUGCAACUCGCCUCCGUGAAGUCGGAAUCGCUAGUAAUCGCAGAUCAGCAUGCUGCGGUGAAUACGUUCCCGGGCCUUGUACACACCGCCCGUCACACCACGAAAGUUGGAAACACCCGAAGCCGGUGGGGUAACCGCAAGGAGCCAGCCGUCGAAGGUGGGGCCGAUGAUUGGGGUGAAGUCAUAACAAGGUAACCGUA
rnacentral:rRNA from 1 species